AAUGUGGAGGAGAAAGACCUUGUUUAUAUAUAAAUAAGUUAACAACCAGCAAUUGCUGGGAAAGAGAAAUGGAGAGGAAAAGUAAUGUCUCACAGAUAAGACUUCCUUUUUAAAUGUUAAUUUUUUCAUCUAUCUGACCGUAAACUUCAUCUCUGAAACUUUUUUCCCAUUAUUGUCAUCAUACCUAGAGCACAUAGAGCUGAACGCUAGCUCACUGUGACCUUUCUGAAAUCACAGGCAAUCCUUUCUCUUUGUCAUUCUGAUAAUGGAAUGGAUCAGAUUCUUCCUGAAGACAUUAUAAUAGAGUUCAACUGUCUAUGCUGUACACUAAUGAAAAAUGUUAAACCCAGUGCUUCUCCAGUAUGCACCCCCACAGCACACAGCAGAUGCCCUGCCUAGAGAUGUCCAUAUGGCAUGCUGGUCUCGAUGAUAUUUCCUCUACUGUCAAGGGAGCUGGCUGUAUGGAUGAGCUGUUGUUGAUGCCAUGUGGAGGCUUAGAUAGAAGUAUGUUGAAGGAAAGACUUUUUAUUUGUCCCUUCCAGUCACUACUCAACAAGGCCAACUUGAUAUGUAGGGGAAGGGCUCUACUUUUAAAUGAUGGGAAUACAAAUACAAACAAAAAAAAGAAAAAAAUCACUGUCCUCAGGAGAUUACAUUCUAAUGAAAGAAGAAAUUACAUAAAGGAGCUGAAAACUGGAGCAUAGAACAAGAGAGGAGGAAAAGAGAGAGUAAGUGUCUGGAUAUUAUAUCAAACUUCUUCAAAAUGGAAGAGCUCACCAAUCAGGGAACAAGGUCACAGAAAUGAGGUCUUUUAAAAGAUGAGAAGAAGGCUGCUUUUGCAUGGAGAAGUGUGAAGUGUUUGAAAUAUACUGUAAGUGACUAAUAUCAUAGACUUCAAUAUGAGUAAAAAAAAAGAAAAAGAGGGAGAGGGAAUGAAGUUAUCUGACCUCUAAAUUAUGGGAAAUUGGGCCAUAGAAAAUGCAAUAUUCGGGCAUGAAGAAAACAUUUGUCAAGUCUCAUGGAAUCUAGCUCAAUAAUUUGUUGUUGUUGAAUCUAAGUCAGUCCCCCCAAAAAUGGAGUACAGGCACAGAACUCUCUACUUAAAAUAGAAACAAAGAAUGUGCACUAGAUCAGGAUCCCCAACUGCAACUCAAAACUGAUUAACUCCUAAAUAGCCUCCUGCCUCAGUUGAUUUCCUCUGCACUAUAUCUCUUUUGAAAGGGAGGAAGAAGCUCCUCAUGGUUCUGUCCCUACUGGCUAAAGGCAAAGGUUCUACUGCUUUCCACUUACUACUCACUUUCUUUGCUAAAUACAAGAAAUUUUCCUAACUGCA